UUAUUAAGAGACUGUAGUUCUUCCAGUGAAACUGCUUGGCUCCUUUAUCAAAGAUAAGGUGGUUGAGUGUGUUUGUACUUGUGGUUGUAUCUUCUAAUCUAUUCCACUGAUCUUCAGCUCUGUUUUGAUUCCAAUACCAUGUUGAUUUAACUACUGUUGCUUUGUAGUAUAACCUCAAGUCAGGUAUUGUGAUGCCUCCUGCUUUGUCUUUGCUGCUUAGAAUUGCCUUUGCUAUUCUAGGUCUCUUCUGGUUCAAGAUGAAAUUUAGGAGUGAUUUCUCUAGAUCUAAAAGCUACUGAGACUCUGGCACCACGCUACCCCAAGCCACUGGGCCUGCAGAACCAAUGGCUCUCCUCUGCCUCCUCAGAACUCUGCAGUUCCAGACAAGCUGGGCCUCAGGGACACUGUGCGCCCACCUGCCCCUUGGAAGCACCACAGCUCUCCAAUCGCAGCCUAUGUGGAUGCGGAUGUAGACGCCUCAAACCCACCUCUCCACUUCACUGCAUCUGGAAGCCUGGAGGGACCCAAACAGUCUGGGCUCUGGGCAGAGUGUGCUGAGCACUCACCACAGGCUGCAGGGCCUCCAGAACCUGUGAUGCUCCACCGCUCGCAGAGACAUCCACAGUCCCCCAGACACACAGGGAGGCCGAUGCAGGCGCCCCAGAUCCACCCAACCCCUCCCAACAGGCACACCGAUGGCUAGGUGCAGCAGUCCGAAACAGUCUCACACCCUUGAUUUUUGCAUUUAGGUCUCCAAUCCCUCAGGGAUUGGAUUUUUGUGUCUGGUGUAAAGAUCCAAUUUCUUUUUUCCCUCUGUUUCUGAAUGGAUAUCAGUUACCACCACACUGUUUAUUAAAGAGUCCAUCUUUUCCUGCUGAUUUAUACAUCACAUCUCUCAUAUAUCAAGGUUUCAUAUGUGCACAGAUCAGUUUUUGGCCUGAAUUCCAUUUCAGCAGUCUAUUUUUCUUUCUCUGUGUCAGUAUCACACUGUGUUAAUUACUGUGGCUGUAUACUGACUGCUGGAGGUAGGCUGAUCUCACUAGGCUUGUUCUGCUCCCUUAGAAGUCUCUGGCAUGCUAUGGGCCUGGCUCUUCUCCACUUGUUUCAGAAUCGUCUUCUGCUGGAAAAUGGGUGAUGAGCCUGUGUCCCUGGAUGAGUUGUCCUCCAUGAGCAGCAUUUCAGGCACCUGGGCCUUCAGCCACGCCUGUGCUAACUGCUGCCACCAACGCCAGUUGGUGCUGAAGCUGCUCAGGGAGAACUUUCUAACUGAUUUGCAGAGCAAAGUCCUGAGAAUGUGUCUGGGACCGAAUUCCAACUUCCCCUUGAACAGGGGCUCCUUUGGUUUCCUCCAGUGGCUCGAUUACCCUCAUUUUACACAGGAUGCCUGCAGUCCCUUCCAGAAAACCGCUUGUUCUCCUUUCCCUGCCUGGAAGGCCAUAACACUGGGCAGAUAGGGACGUCCCUCUACUGACAAUGCCAAGGUCUCAAAACACUGCCCACUCCAGAGGUUGGGAAGCACAACCAGACUCUUUGGCUUAAGUGUCUGCAAGAGUAUUCUUAAUGGAAAAUAGGCUUGGGAGGAAGAGACGUGCACUCAUGCUUAUGGUUCAGUCUUUGGACUUUGGCUUGCCCACCUGUGACAUGGGAAUUUGAACUGGGUGAUCUCCCAGAUUUCCAUUGACACUUGUUCCUGUGAUUCCAUCCUGUGGCAUGAGAGCAUAGAAACUGGGAAGUGUUCUGUCCAUCUUGCUGCCAAGAAGAUUCUUACUUCUGCCUUGCUUUGGUUACUGAAGUUUCCCUCCCUGCCUGGAGGAAGAUGGUGGCUCUGGCUGACUAGGACUGGACCAGGUGCUCUGCAGACCAAAAGCAAGGCAAGUUGGACUUCCUGUGAAGCUGAUGUAGACUUCUGCCUCUCUUUACCUGGGGAGCAUUGUCAAUUUUAGAAAUCGUCUAUGUCUGAAUCUGUACUUCCAACAGGGAUUCAUGACCCACUGUGGGCUUCAACACAGGCUUGGAUUAGACCAGUACACGGUGCUGCUUUUGAUUGUGGUGUUUCAGACUAUUGGUCUGAGAUGUUUCUGUCUCCUCUUUCAGACCACUGAAUGCUCAGCCACAGCUUCAUUGGCUGGAGGGCUAGAUAACAUGAAGGCCAACCUGACCAGCCCCACACCUGCUGACAUUGGGAGCAGUGUACCAGGCCCACAGUCCUACCCCAUUUUGACAAGUGAGGGGACCUGGAUUAUAAGGGAUUGAGUGGAAGAGGGAGAGGGAGAAUGAAUACAUGGUGGGAGGAAGGCUUUUUGGUAUUUUUGGAUGAGAUUGGCCAUUUUUACUUUAACGGGGUGAUGAGGUCUUGGAACAGACCAGGCAGGAAACUGCUUGGGUCACAGUUUUAGCUGUGCUUAAGACAUGGCUGUACAUGAUUCCAAGAAAGCCAGAGGAAAACAAAUGCCAAAGGAACUGUGGCUGAGAGAAGUGACAGGGAAACCUCUGAAGAGAUGGCUCCUGUAGAUGAGGAUUUAUUCAUUUCAUGAGCAAAGCAGCCCUGGUUGGCAACAGCUUCAAGGAGUGGGAUUCUUUGCAGCUUGUGAUUGGCAUUUCAAAAUUUCAGCAGAGGCUAGGUCCUGACCUAGGAGGCUCAGGCUGGGUAUGUACCAAACAGCUGCCUUCCUGGAGGCCAGGGCCAGCGUCCAUUUCACUGUGAGGGUAAAGCCCUGGCUCUCAGCAGUAGAGCACUUGGUCAGUGUACACCAAGUCCUGGCUUUCACCCCUAGCACUGUGCCAGGUAAUACAACAGCGACAAACAGCAUGGGCUCCCCACUCACAGUUAGGGUUGGACCUGUCAUUUGCUAGCUGUGCAGCUAUCUUGGAGGAGCCACCCAACCUCACACAAAUGCCUGCUGUUGUUUUCUGAGCUGUAUAAUGGUAGUACCUACCGCACAAGGUAGUUACGAGGAUGAACGGGCUCACUCUAAAGUACUUAGAUGCUUGCAUAGCACACAGUUAGCACCCAAUGUGUGUGGCUGUUGUCACUCCUCUGAAGAGACCUGUCACAUGGAUUGUCAAAGUUGUGCAUGUUGCUACAGCUGCUUUCCACCCACCAUACUCCCUCUUCCAGCAGCACUGGUUACUGGGGAGCACCAGAAACUGUCUGAACUGCCAGCCCCUGGAGAAGGCCACCAUGACAGACAGGGGGCCCUUAGACAGUGGGGUACUGAGGCCCACACUUGGGCCAGAGCCUGUGGGUACAGCCUAAGCUGGAAGGGUGCCUUGAGGGCAGAACACAGUACACAGUGGCAGAGACAAGGUUUCUUAGACACACAGUUAGGUUGCUGGUACAUCAGGGAGGCUGACGAUUGUCCUUGGCUUAGAAAACCAUAGGGGAAGAAACAGAGGAAACAGGAUCUCAGUUCCAAAGCCCUUUAAAUUGGAACAGCAAGGCAGUGAGGCCAACUCUGCGACCUGAGCUGACAGGUCAGCACCAAGGCUCAGACUGAAGCAGCUGGGCCCCACUUGCAGGUCUGGGAGCCCCAUGAGAGUAAGAAGGCCACAGUGACCUGAUCUGCAUGCACAUGUAAUGAGGAGGAGCCUGCAAGCUAGGAGAAUGAAGGGAGGCUGGAGCCAGAGAGCUUCACUUAGUUCUCCCGAAAUUUUACUGCCAUCACGGAUGUUCUGUGAUGUCUUCUCCUCUGAUGUCACCUGCAACCAUGACAGUACUUUUGAUGAUAUGUCAUUGUGCAGGUACAGAAGCUAGGCUCAGUGAGGCAGUGCCUUCCCCAAUGUAAGGAGAACCAUGAAGAGUCUUCUAGAUCCCCAGACAUUACAGUUUUCAAAGUACUACAAGCAAUUGCAAAGGGUAGAGCAGAAAGAAGUGUGGACCAGGUCAUAAUAAUAGUCAUUGUCAUUUCAUGGAGUGCUUAGGCACCAAGCACUUCCUUUUAUUUUUUAUUUUUAUUUUUAUAGGUACCAGGGAUCAAACUCACAACUCUGCAUUUGAAAGGCACUUAUGCCACUGAGGUAAAUCCACGGCCCAAGCACCCUUUUGGAGUGAGCCCGUUUUUUACCCUCAGAAGAACACUGGAAGGUGAUGCAAUGAAUAUCAUAUGUAAAGAAACUGGGACCUAGGGCAGGCAGGUAUUUUUCCUGACAUCACAGCCAGUGUUCAAGGGUGCUGUGGUUGAACACGGCGGUGGGGGGGGGGCUGUGCUGCUGGCCAUUCUGCUGCAUGGAUAAGCUGGGGGCCACCCCCAGUGCUGUCACUUCAUUCUGUCUGACUUUGGACACAGCUAUGAGUCUCACUUUUUUCAUCUAUGCAAUGAUCCUGGUCUCUCAGCACCCGUAUGUUGAUCUAAUAAAAUCCCUGAGGAGAGUGUAUGACACAGAGGGCAGUUUGUGAUUGGAGGUAGAGCAUGGAAACUCAAGUUGAGGCAGCUCACAAGGAGACUAUAUUCCUUCAUGUGUAUGCGUAUUUAUGUGGAUAGUGACUCUGGGAGUGUGGAGACGGAAGUCAACUUCCUGAGGUUCCACUCAACAGGAGUGGAAUGCAGGUUGCCAGCUAUCAGGGCUCACCUAGGCCACAGAUAAGUGUAGUUUGGCCCAUACAGGAUAUUUAGACAUUUUAAUUCAACACGUUAAAGGUAAAAGGCUGAAUUACUGACUCCCCUUGAAAAAUCAUAACAGUCAGCCUCUGUGGGGCUUAUUCGCACAUGGCCAUGCUAGGUUGGGGCUCAGUAGCAGCAGCCCCUCAAGAUAGAUCCCCGUACUUCCCAGCCAGUGGCUCUGUCAUAUAUCUUGAAAGUCUAGCCUGAGAAGUACUGUGCGUUAACAUCCUUGGAGCAGGAGCUUGGGCUAAGGGCCAGGGAGGUGGGCUCACUCUCCUGCAGUCUACAGAGGGUUUCAGCAGGCCUGGGUACCAAAUCUAGUAGUGAACUGGGGUUCAGUUAAACCUUCAACCAAAAAUCUGUUUGUGUUUUAAUUCCCCCUCUUUAAAUCACAUGGAUCCAGAAGAGAUUCAAAGACUAAAGCAGAAUUAUGCUUAAUUUUGAAAUAUUAGAGAUACUAUAAUUAUCAAUAUAUUUAUUAGCUUUCUUAUAAGUAAACAAUAGCACAAUGGAAGGAAGGAGCCCAUGAACAACAAAAAUAUUUUAACUACCUAGGAAUAAACUUAACUUUAAAAAGUAAAAGAAUAAAUGUAGAAAUGUUGUUUAUUCUUAGGCUGCACAUCAUAAAAAUGCCAGUUCUCCCUAAGAAAUCUAUUAAUUCAAAGCAAUUCCAAGCCAACUGCCAAGGAAUUUUAAAAGUAUGUCAAAAUGAUACAAAUACUAGGUAAAUAAACAUUCUAGGACAGCUAGGAAAAUUCUGAAUUAAAUGAGAUGCUAGAGCACAUUUAAAAAUGUACUGUGAAACUACAUAACUAAAACUGUUAUUGAAACUGAAAUUUCAGCAUAGAAUACAGAAACAAACCUAAACACUGUAUGUGUGAGUGUUUAUGAAUGCAGACUGUUGGAUCCUUACCUGUCUCUUUAUAUUAAAAUACACUUUUUGAGGCUGCUAAUAUAAUAAUUGUCCUGAUUUAAUAAUUGUACAUUAUAUACAUGUAUCAAAAUAUUCCAACAUAUCCGAAACAUGUAUAAUUAUGUGUCAUUUAAAAAUAAAUGCCAUGUAGGUGGGCAUGGUGGAAUACUUGGGAGGCUGAUGCAAGAGGGUCACUGAAUUCAAGGCCAGCCUGGGCUACACAGUGAGACCCUGUCUCAAAAACCAAGGAUAAAAAAUAAAUAAAUUCCAGGUUGAUUGAAACUUUGAAUGAAAACUAAAGCCUAGGGGGAAAUCUUUUAUAGAGGAGGCCUUUUAAAAAUAUGUCUUGAGAGCAGUGUGUGUGUGCAUGCAUGAGUUAGUCUCUUGUACGUGUGUAAAAAUACCCAAAAGACAAAAUAUGUAAAAGAAAUAAAAAUUAAAAAUGUGAAAGGAAGAAAAAAAAGCAUGACACAGAUAACAAAAUUUAGUUAUUAAAAAUUUAUUUAGUGUAUGAAGAGCUUUUAAAAUUUGUCUGUAUGUGUGUAUGUGUGUAUGUGAGACAGGGUCUUGCCAUGCAGCUUAGGCUGGCCUUGAACUCAUUACAUAGUCCAGACCAACCUCAACUUACAGCAAUCUGCUUGCCUCAGUCUCCCAAGUGCUGAGAUUGCAGGUGUGCACUACAACACCUGGCCAGAAAGCUUUUAAAAUAAAUAAGAAAUAAAGCAGUAGACAAACUCAGCAAAGAAUAUGAAUAGGUAUUUCACUGGGAAAUAUAUCAGCACCCCAAAAUAUUUGAUGAAUCAACAAGUUAAAAUAAUCAAGUGAUACUUAAGAUAUGAUACCAUUAAUUUAUCAAAUAUUAAGUUUCAGAGUUGGGAAGGGCGUGAGAAGUAGACAUCUUUCAUAUACAGUUAAGGAAGUAUAAAUUGGUGUAAUUUCUUUUUGAAGGAAACUUGGCAAUAUUUAUCAGAUAUUUAAAUAUUCAUGCCAACACUGUGACUCAAAGCUUUUAUGUAUGUUUUAAGGAAAUUAUCUCACAAAUAUAUUCAUGCAGUACAAUAUAAUGGUAAACAAAUAGAACAGUGUGGCCUCAACAAGUAAGAGGUGAAAUAUAUUAUGACUCUUUCUUACAAUAAGUAGUACUGAUAUAAAACUCACAAAGGAGUAAACCUUAUCUUUAUUGACAUGAAUACAUGUCUAAGUUAUAAAUCUGAGUAAAAAGAAACAAGCUGUAUAGUAAUUUAAGUAUGAUCACAUUUGUACAAAAAUAUAAUACAAAACAGUGGAAUUCUACAAGAAAUACAAAGAAGACAAUGAUCACACUCCUCAAAUUCUUCAAUGAAAUCAAAAGGGAAUCAAUCCUUCCUAAGUCAUUCCUGGAAGCAAAUAUUACUCUAGUACCAAAACCUGAGAAAUACCUAACUAAAAAAAACCAAAAUUACAAGCCAAUCUCCCUAAAGAACACAGAUGCAAAAAUCUUCAAUAAAAUAUUGGCAAACAGGAUAAAGCAAAUCAUCAAGAAGAUUAUAUACCACAACCAAAUGGGAUUCAUCCCAGGCAUGCUGGGAUGGUUCAGCAUAUGCAAAUCAAUAAAUGUAAUCCACCAUUUAAAUAAAGCCAAAA